CAAAGAUACUCAAAAUAGCCAAGAGAAAAACCUUGUCUGUCUACAUUUUAUAACACCAUCUAUACAAAGAUAAAGUCUGUGAUGAUACCAUCAUUAAGAGACUAUACACGACCUCUGGCCUCAUGGCAUUUACAUUCCAGCCCCAAACAGGAAAUGAUCUACGGUGCGAGACCUCCUAUGGAGUGAACAGAUCACAGGAAAAACAUCUGGCCAGGAAAAUACAAUGAAAUCUGAGAAGACAGCAUAUUGACGUGUUAACAGGAAAACAAAAAGAAGACAGACAAAUAAAAGAACAGCUACAAUGAUCAUAUAAGAAAUGGCUGCAUAUCUGGAACAGAAUUUACUUUUGGCAAUCUGGUUAAAUCAGUGACAGUGUCUAAGCGGGAGGAGAAAUCCAUCGUUCAAAACACUGCCUGCCCUGGAAGAGCGCAGCCGAGGUCCCAGACACCCCGUCCACAUGAGAUGCACAAAAACGGGCGGCUCGGGGAGAACGUAACUGGGUGACGUUUCACCACAUCGCGGGGCGGGGGGGUGCUCCUCCGCACCGCCUGGCAGCCUCCUGCCUUCUGCCCCUCGGAAGUGGGGCUGCCACAGUGGCCGCCCG